UCUGGAACGCGGGCUGACGUUACUUUAGAACAAACGAUGCCCUGGAACUUCCUGAUAAUGCUGCCCUGCCAUCGGAACACGGAUGGCAGUAAUCGCUGGCGUUUUAGCGAAAGCUGUCUUGGUCAUAAUUUCCCCUUAACUGUGUUUCCAGCCCUUAGUCUAUCUCAGGUGGGACCUGGAAGUCUGCCUUCUCCCGACCCCUCGGCAAAAGUUGGAGGAAGUGCUUGAGGCAAAACCUCUGCUCUCAUAUUCCCUUCAUCUUCGAAUUAGAACGAGUAGUAAGUUCUACAGUGUCACAGAGAGAGUUAUGGAGAGGAGGAGGAGGGAAAGAAUCAAAUACGGGACGCUGUCAACCAAAGUUCUAAACUCUAAAUAUAUUAAUAUGCUCUUGUGCGUCCUCAGGAGGUUUCACAAAGGCUUUCCCUUUUUUUUUCUCAGAAUGUCUAGUAGGACUACAAUGGGAAAAGCUCAGGACCUAACCUGCUCUGUCCAGAGGGUAGCCCCUUGCCACUUAGGGCCACUGAGCACUUGAAAUGGGGCCACUGAGCACUUGAAAUGAGGCUACUUCGUUUAAGUGCAGAAUACGCACGGGUGUUAGAGUUUGAGGACUGUGAAACACCUCCCUGAUCCCACUGAAAUAUGUUAGAUAUACUGCAGUAAGGAAACUGUACGCCAGGCACAGUGUCUCACACCUGUGAUCCAGUACUUUAGGAGGCUAAGGUGGGAGGAUCGCUUGAGCAUGAGAGACCAGCCUGGGCAAUAUAGGAAAACCCCUGUCUCUACAAAAACUCACGGUUGACCACAGGUAACCAAAACAGUAAAGAGAAACUCCAGAUAAGGGGGGACUACUGUAUCAUCCUGAUUAAAUUUUCCAUACAACAACGUCAUAAAUAGUGGAAGAAUUUCAAAACUGGUUCCCAGAAGUCCACAGUGCAGUCAAACAACAAAAGAAUCAUUUUGUGUACGGAUGAGAUAGAGUCAAGGCUUGGCUUCGUUUUUAACAUGCAGAUCGCCAGUGGACGACCAUGGACCAUUUAUUAAAAGACCAUUCUUCCCUAUCGAAUUGCCAUGGCACCUUGGCUACAAAGAAGCUCUCUUUUGAUGGCUUGCUUUUUUUCCCAGUAAACUAGGAAGCACGGUCGUGAAAUGAAGGCAUGAAAAUGUAACUAUUAUAAAGACUAAUGAUUCCAAACUGUGGGAAAUGUAUUCUUUUUAUUUAAAUAAAGAUUCUUAUUAAAUACAUGACUCUUAUUAAAAUAGAAGGGUCGAAAACAGUAUAGAGUGCAGCCAUGAAAAAUAGUGAAAUCAUGCCCUUUGCAGCAGCAUGGAUGCAGCUGGGGGCCAUUAUCCUAUGCUAAUUAACAUUGGGUUCUCAGGGACAUAGAGAUGGCAACAAUAGACCCUGGAGACUACUAGAGGUGGGAGGAAAGGAGGGGAGCAAGGGUUGAAAACCUAUGGGGUACCGUGCUCAGCACCUGAGUGAUGGCAUCAUUUGUGUCCCAAACUUUAGCAUCACACAAUAUACCCAUGAA